GNGACGAACUUCCGUUUAAUUGAUUAUGGACGUACUUGGUACUGAUUGAGAUUUUAACACGCAAGUGAGUGGCGAACGGGUGAGUAACACGUGGGGUAACCUGCCCAGAAGUAGGGGAUAACACCUGGAAACAGAUGCUAAUACCGUAUAACAGAGAAAACCGCAUGGUUUUCUUUUAAAAGAUGGCUCUGCUAUCACUUCUGGAUGGACCCGCGGCGUAUUAGCUAGUUGGUGAGGUAAAGGCUCACCAAGGCAGUGAUACGUAGCCGACCUGAGAGGGUAAUCGGCCACAUUGGGACUGAGACACGGCCCAGACUCCUACGGGAGGCAGCAGUAGGGAAUCUUCCACAAUGGACGCAAGUCUGAUGGAGCAACGCCGCGUGAGUGAAGAAGGGUUUCGGCUCGUAAAGCUCUGUUGUUAAAGAAGAACGUGGGUAAGAGUAACUGUUUACCCAGUGACGGUAUUUAACCAGAAAGCCACGGCUAACUACGUGCCAGCAGCCGCGGUAAUACGUAGGUGGCAAGCGUUAUCCGGAUUUAUUGGGCGUAAAGCGAGCGCAGGCGGUCUUUUAAGUCUAAUGUGAAAGCCUUCGGCUCAAC
rnacentral:rRNA from 1 species